rnacentral:rRNA from 1 species
UUGGUGAUUCAUAAUAACUUUACGGAUCGCAUGGCCUUGCGCCGGCGACGGUUCAUUCAAAUUUCUGCCCUAUCAACUUUCGAUGGUAAGGUAUUGGCUUACCAUGGUUUCAACGGGUAACGGGGAAUUAGGGUUCGAUUCCGGAGAGGGAGCCUGAGAAACGGCUACCACAUCCAAGGAAGGCAGCAGGCGCGCAAAUUACCCAAUCCCGAUACGGGGAGGUAGUGACAAUAAAUACUGAUACAGGGCUCUUUUGGGUCUUGUAAUUGGAAUGAGUACAAUUUAAACCUCUUAACGAGGAACAAUUGGAGGGCAAGUCUGGUGCCAGCAGCCGCGGUAAUUCCAGCUCCAAUAGCGUAUAUUAAAGUUGUUGCAGUUAAAAAGCUCGUAGUUGAAACUUGGGUCUGGCUGGCAGGUCCGCCUCACCGCGUGUACUUGUCCGGCCGGGCCUUCCUUCUGGAGAACCUCAUGCCCUUCACUGGGCGUGUUGGGGACCAGGACUUUUACUUUGAAAAAAUUAGAGUGUUCAAAGCAGGCCUUUGCUCGAAUACGUUAGCAUGGAAUAAUAGAAUAGGACGUGCGGUUCUAUUUUGUUGGUUUCUANGACCGCCGUAAUGAUUAAUAGGGACAGUCGGGGGCAUCAGUAUUCAAUUGUCAGAGGUGAAAUUCUUGGAUUUAUUGAAAACUAACUACUGCGAAAGCAUUUGGCAAGGAUGNUUUCAUUAAUCAAUGAACGAAAG